rnacentral:rRNA from 1 species
CGGACGGGUGAGUAAUGUCUGGGAAACUGCCCGAUGGAGGGGGAUAACUACUGGAAACGGUAGCUAUACCGCAUAAUGUCUACGGACCAAAGCGGGGGACCUCCGGGCCUCGCGCCAUCAGAUGAACCCAUAUGGGAUUAGCUAGUAGGUGGGGUAAUGGCUCACCUAGGCGACGAUCCCUAGCUGGUCUGAGAGGAUGACCAGCCACACUGGAACUGAGACACGGUCCAG